rnacentral:tRNA from 1 species
GCCGGGGUGUCGGAACUGGUAGACGAUACGGACUUAAAAUCCGUUGGAGUUUAACUCCGUGAGGGUUCAAAUCCCUCCCCCGGCA